rnacentral:rRNA from 1 species
GAUGAACGCUAGCGGCAGGCUUAAUACAUGCAAGUCGAGGGGCAGCAUGGGUAGCAAUACCUGAUGGCGACCGGCAAACGGGUGCGGAACACGUACAGAACCUUCCUUUGAGCGGGGGAUAGCCCGAAGAAAUUCGGAUUAAUACCCCAUAGUAUUUUUGUGUGGCAUCACAUAAAAUUAAAGAUUUAUCACUUAAAGAUGGCUGUGCGUAUGAUUAGGUAGUUGGUUGAGGUAACGGCUCACCAAGCCUUCGAUCAUUAACUGGUGUGAGAGCACGACCAGUCACACGGGCACUGAGACACGGGCCCGACUCCUACGGGAGGCAGCAGUAAGGAAUAUUGGUCAAU